rnacentral:rRNA from 1 species
UACGGGGGGGGCAAGCGUUGUUCGGAAUUACUGGGCGUAAAGGGCUCGUAGGCGGCCAACUAAGUCGGACGUGAAAUCCCCAGGCUCAACCUGGGAACUGCGUCUGAUACUGGAUGGCUUGAAUCCGGGAGAGGGAUGCAGAAUUCCAGGUGUAGCGGUGAAAUGCGUAGAUAUCGAGAGGAACACCUGCGGCGAAGGCGGGUUGCUGGGCUGACACUGACGCUGAGGCGCGAAAGCUAGGGGAGCGAACGGG